GAUGAACGCUGGCGGCGUGCUUAAUACAUGCAAGUCGAGCGAACAGACGAGGAGCUUGCUCCUCUGUCGUUAGCGGCGCACGGGUGAGUAACACGUGGAUAACCUCCUUAUAUUACUGGGAUAACUUCGGGAAACCGGCGCUAAUACCGGAGGAUAUAUUGAACCGCACGGUUCUAUAGUGAUAGUCGGUUUGGCUUUCACUUAUAGCUUGAUCCGCGCUGCAUUAGCUAGUUGGUUAGGUAACGGCUUACCAAGGCAACGAUGCGUAGCCGAUCUGAGAGGGUGAGCGGCCACACUAGAACUGAGGCACGGGCCAGACCCCUACGAGAGGCAGCAGUAGGGAAUCUUGCGCAAUGGGCGAAAACCGGACGGUGCAACGCCGCGUGAGUGAUGGAGGUCUCCGGAGCGUAAAACUCUGUUAGUGGGGAAGAACAAAUGUGUAAGUAACUAUGCACGUCUUGACGGUACCUAGACAGAAAGCCACGGCUAACUACGUG
rnacentral:rRNA from 1 species